CCUUCUAGUUAUUGGGUUGGCUUGUGUUGUCCCAAAAGGACCCCUGCCGCCCUGACUACAUCCUUGUCUAUUGCGUACUACAUGUUUCCUCGGUGGGCUUGCUCACCGAUUGGACAACCAUUAAACUCUUUUGUAAUUGCAAUCAGCGUCUGAAAAUAAUUUUAAUAAUUA
rnacentral:misc_RNA from 1 species